rnacentral:lncRNA from 1 species
AGAUGCAAUUCGAAUUUCAAUCUUUUUAAAAUAUGUACGAUAGGUUUGAAAAUUUGUUUCAAAUCGAAAUGAGAAUUAUAAUCUCUACCACACUUGCAAUUCUAACCAUAGUUAGAGUCAGCUCGAAUUUUUGCCUUAAUUUCAGCUCGGCUCAUGUCUUGCUUGAAGCACAAUGCAGGCUAAGUAUUCGCUUGGGCUGUCACUCUAAUCAAGUU